UCAGGAUGAACGCUGGCGGCGUGCUUAACACAUGCAAGUGCGCGGUGAUCUCAAGAAGUUUCGGACGGAAAGGGAGAGCAGCAGCGGACGGGUGAGUAAAGCACAAGGACUUGUCCCGGAAGAGGGGGACAACUGUGGGAAACCACAGCUAAUACCCCAUAAGCCGAGAGGUGAAAGCAGUAAUGCGCUUUAGGAGAGACUUGUGUCCUAUCAGGUAGUUGGUGAGGUAACGGCUCACCAAGCCGAAGACGGGUAGCCGGACUGAGAGGUUGUACGGCCACAUUGGAACUGAGAGACGGUCCAGACUCCUACGGGAGGCAGCAGUGGGGAAUAUUGGGCAAUGGGGGCAACCCUGACCCAGCGACGCCGCGUGAGGGAAGACAGCCUUCGGGUUGUAAACCUCUGUUGCAGGGGAAGAAGAAAGUGACGGUACCCUGCGAGGAAGCUCCGGCAAACUACGUGCCAGCCGCCGC
rnacentral:rRNA from 1 species